GCGACACUAGCUCAGUUGGUAGAGCGCAACCUUGCCAAGGUUGAGGUCACGAGUUCGAACCUCAGUUGGUAGAGCGCAACCUUGCCAAGGUUGAGGUCACGAGUUCGAACCUCGUGUGUCGCUCCA
rnacentral:tRNA from 1 species